UUCCAGUGAACCGGAUGCUCCGUCAGUUACCUCCUCCGCGUACUCCGGUGCUUCCCGGCUCCCUGGCAAGGCCGCAGGCAUCCACGCGGGGACGGUCAGGGGGCUCCCGGCGGCUGGCCUGGCAGGUGUAGGGCGCCGGUAGGAGCUGGGCGCACACGGUUACCGAGCGUGGAGGAGACACGGCCCUGCGGCGAUGGGUGCCAGGGGCGCUCCUUCACGCCGGAGGCAGGCGGGGCGGCGACCGCGGUAUCUGCCCACCGGGAGCUUUCCCUUUCUCCUCCUCCUGCUGCUUCUCUGCAUCCAGCUCGGUGGAGGACAGAAGAAAAAGGAGAAUCUUUUAGCUGAGAAAGUAGAACAGCUGAUGGAAUGGAGCUCCAGGCGCUCAAUCUUCCGAAUGAAUGGUGACAAAUUCCGAAAAUUUAUAAAGACACCACCUCGAAACUAUUCUAUGAUUGUUAUGUUCACUGCUCUUCAACCGCAGCGGCAGUGUUCUGUGUGCAGGCAAGCUAACGAAGAAUAUCAAAUACUGGCUAACUCGUGGCGCUAUUCCUCUGCUUUUUGUAACAAACUCUUCUUCAGUAUGGUGGACUACGAUGAGGGAACAGAUGUUUUUCAGCAGCUCAACAUGAACUCUGCUCCUACAUUUAUGCAUUUUCCUCCAAAAGGCAGACCCAAGAGAGCUGAUACUUUUGACCUUCAAAGAAUUGGAUUUGCAGCUGAGCAACUAGCAAAGUGGAUUGCUGACAGAACGGAUGUUCAUAUUCGUGUCUUCAGACCACCCAACUACUCUGGCACCAUUGCUUUGGCCUUGUUAGUGUCACUUGUGGGUGGUUUGCUGUAUUUAAGAAGGAACAACUUGGAGUUCAUCUAUAACAAGACUGGUUGGGCCAUGGUAUCUCUGUGUAUAGUCUUUGCUAUGACUUCUGGCCAGAUGUGGAAUCAUAUCCGUGGACCACCAUAUGCUCAUAAAAACCCGCACAAUGGACAGGUGAGCUACAUCCAUGGGAGCAGCCAGGCUCAAUUCGUGGCAGAGUCACACAUUAUUCUGCUACUAAACGCUGCUAUCACCAUGGGGAUGGUUCUUCUAAAUGAAGCGGCAACAUCCAAAGGCGAUGUUGGAAAAAGACGGAUCAUUUGUCUAGUGGGAUUAGGCCUGGUGGUCUUCUUCUUCAGUUUUCUACUUUCAAUAUUUCGUUCCAAGUACCACGGCUACCCUUACAGUGAUCUGGACUUUGAGUGAGAAGAUGUGAUUUGGACCGUGGCACUUUAAAACUGUAACCGCAGCUUUUUAAUUAAAUGAAGCCGAGUGGGAUUUGCAUAAAGUGAAUGUUUACCAUGAAGACAAAGUGUUCCUGACAUACUAGUUCAAAUUCUUGAGUUCAUUUCCUUGCUGAUUGUGAUAAUCCAGCUGUUUCUUGUACAGUUUUUUUAAACUACGUGGGCCUCUCCAUGCCGUGGCAUCUCCCGUUGCGGAGCACAGGCUCCGGACGCACAGGCUCAGCGGCCAUGGCUCUCGGGCCCAGCUGCUCCGCGGCACGUGGGAUCCCCCCGGACCGGGGCACGAACCCACGUCCCCUGCAUCGGCAGGCGGACUCCCAACCACUGAGCCACCAGGGAAGCCCGCGUUUUGUUCUUAUUCAUCAUAAUUAGGUAAAGGAAGUAGGACAGGGAGCUGGAUGAAUACUACACAGAUACCUACCCUGGGACGUGGAGGUCCUUCCCAGAAUAAAAAUGUAAAGCCAACAUGACUAAAUCAACAUGCCUCAAGGCAUCAGGCAACGAAAGCAACACACCACAACUAGGAAUUAAUUCUUCUCCAACUUUAGAAGUGUCACACAAGAAUCCAGACUUAAAACCACAAAACUAACCCACUAUGGACACUGUGCCCUUGUGUUAUAUGGAAGAAGCAUGCCAUCAAAACCUUAUUCCCAGACCUAGAUAUAGAUUAGUUAUCCUAAUAUGAGGGACUCAAUGAUGCUUUCUUGAAAAUCAAAUAUAGGCGUGUAACCAUUAUUAUGUUUGUAUAUUGCAUUUUAGUUUAUAAA